CAGCCGCCGCGGUAAUACCGGCGGCCCGAGUGGCGGUCACUAUUAUUGGGCUUAAAGCGUCCGUAGCCGGGUUGGGAAGUCCUCCGGGAAAUCUGGCCGCUUAACGGUCAGAAUGCCGGAGGAUACUCCCAGCCUAGGGAGCGGGGGAGGCCGAGGGUAUUCCCGGAGUAGGGGUGAAAUCCUAUAAUCCCGGGAGGACCACCUGUGGCGAAGGCGCUCGGCUGGAACGCGUCCGACGGUGAGGGACGAAGGCCAGGGGAGCAAACCGGAUUAGAUGCCCGGGUAGUCCUGGCUGUAAAGGAUGCGGGCUAGGUGUCGGGUGAGCUUCGAGCUCGCCCGGUGCCGUAGGGAAGCCGUUAAGCCCGCCGCCUGGGGAGUACGGCCGCAAGGCUGAAACUUAAAGGAAUUGGCGGG
rnacentral:rRNA from 1 species